GCUGUCACGUUAAAAAAUACUUCAGUCUUCUGUUGACCAUUUCCUUGUGAGCAGCAGUAGGGAUACCUGGUGCACCUUCAUCAUUUUGGGGCUCUAAUGGGUCCUUCUACCAUCCUGUACACCAGGAUGUGGACCUUUUUAUUUCUUUACAUCUUGGGCAUAAAUUUCUGCCAGGCUGAUACCUCAACCCAAAUGCUUUAUGCCAAACUGAUAAUAGACAAAAGUGCAAUUGCAAAUAUCACGAGCAUACUGAAGAAUUUUACGUAUAAAAAUACAUUUGUUGAAGCACCUGUAAUGACAACAGUGUGCACAAAUGGUACAGGCGAGAAGUUAUGUCACUGCAAACCAGACCACAGAUGGAGCGAUACUUUCUGUCAGUCUAAUCCAAAAUGUUGUGGCAAUGCAACAUGCACUUUGGAUAAAAGUGCAGAUGCAAAA